UCUGACACAAACAGGAUACUUUGUGAGAAAAAACAGGGUUUAGGCGAUAUGCUACAAACAAGAUCUUUAGAAAGUAAAUGAAUAAAGUCUUUUGUAUACAAGCAGGCUUGAAGUUAUACCAAGUAGUUAAGGAUUUCCAGGAUACUUUGCAAUGCAGCUAGUUAUAGGCAAAUAUCUUUUAGGGUAAGACAAUACAGGAUCAUGCAGAGUUGCAGAGGUUGAAACAGGUAGGAAUAUUCCAAAAUAAUAUAACGCAGGUUGCUUAUGAGAGAAUGCAGUGAUGCAGCAAUUAAAGCAGUUAAGAUUCUUCAAUGAAGGCAAUACGCCACAAAUCAGGAUUCUUGGAAGCUGAUAAGGAAAGUCUUUUGGUAAGAUGUAAUUCCGGCAAGUUCAGGAUGAAGUAAUGCAGGUUAGUGCCUUUCAGUAUGAGGAAAUGCAGAUGAGUACAGGAUGAGGCACUGCAGGUAAGUUCUCUACAGAAUGAAAUCAUGUAGAUAAA